GUGCUUGCCUCGACAGCACAUAUACUAAAAUUGGAACGAUACAGAGAAGAUUAGCAUGGCCCCUGCAUAAGGAUGACAUACAAAUUCAUGAAGCGUUCCAUAUUUUU
rnacentral:snRNA from 1 species